UUUGGUAUCGCCUUCUUCUCACAAUCAAUGUAUUUUCUUUGUUGAUAAUGGUAAUUACGCCAGCACCUUCGGACGGCUCUGAGGGAAAGAGAGCAAACAGAAGUCAGCUUUACGUUUUCGGGCAAUUGACGCGAAAGGGCUGUGAGUAGUAGUAGUAUAGUCCAGCUGUUAGUCGCAGACGCGUCGUUGGACAGCGAAGAGUAACAAUGUUGAGAAUCCUGCUGGCUACUUCGUGGCUGUUGGGCGUAGGAAAGGCGAUGCCCUGGAACACAACCGUUCCUCCUAUCUUUGAACAAGACCCAAUCACCGUGAUGCCGCCGCAGGACUACACGUUCCCUCCUAGAGGGACCCCUUACCCUGGGACGUUGGAGGACCUAAGGAAAGAGUACACGUUUAAAGAUGUGAUCACGUGCGCAGAACCCUUCCAGGACCCCAUCUGUGAUGCGCGGUGCCAAGAAAUGUUUCGAAAUCGGGGCAUCUGCGCUCACGACUAUAAAUGCUACUGCGAAAAAUGGAAUAUGGGUCAUGUAGACGACGAGUAUCCCAUAGACCAGGUGUAUUAAAGGCGUCUUCUUUCUACAUUCUGUAUACACUAACAACAUUUCUAUAUUCUGUAUACAAUAUACAAUAUCUGUAUGGUGUC